GUGGGGAAUAUUGGACAAUGGGCGAAAGCCUGAUCCAGCAAUGCCGCGUGAGUGAUGAAGGCCUUAGGGUUGUAAAGCUCUUUUACCAGGGAUGAUAAUGACAGUACCUGGAGAAUAAGCUCCGGCUAACUCCGUGCCAGCAGCCGCGGUAAUACGGAGGGAGCUAGCGUUGUUCGGAAUUACUGGGCGUAAAGCGCGCGUAGGCGGCGAUUUAAGUCAGAGGUGAAAGCCCGGGGCUCAACCCCGGAAUAGCCUUUGAGACUGGAUUGCUAGAAUCCUGGAGAGGUGAGUGGAAUUCCGAGUGUAGAGGUGAAAUUCGUAGAUAUUCGGAAGAACACCAGUGGCGAAGGCGGCUCACUGGACAGGUAUUGACGCUGAGGUGCGAAAGCGUGGGGAGCAAACAGGAUUAGAUACCCCAGUAGUCC
rnacentral:rRNA from 1 species